CGCGACCCCAGGUCAGGCGGA
rnacentral:rRNA from 1 species